CCUACGGGAGGCAGCAGUGGGGAAUUUUGGACAAUGGGCGCAAGCCUGAUCCAGCAAUGCCGCGUGAGUGAAGAAGGCCUUCGGGUUGUAAAGCUCUUUUGUCAGGGAAGAAACGGUGGUUCCUAAUACGGACUACUAAUGACGGUACCUGAAGAAUAAGCACCGGCUAACUACGUGCCAGCAGCCGCGGUAAUACGUAGGGUGCAAGCGUUAAUCGGAAUUACUGGGCGUAAAGCGUGCGCAGGCGGUUAUAUAAGUCAGAUGUGAAAUCCCCGGGCUCAACCUGGGAACUGCAUUUGAGACUGUAUGGCUAGAGUGUGUCAGAGGGGGGUAGAAUUCCACGUGUAGCAGUGAAAUGCGUAGAUAUGUGGAGGAAUACCGAUGGCGAAGGCAGCCCCCUGGGAUAACACUGACGCUCAUGCACGAAAGCGUGGGGAGCAAACAGGAUUAGAUACCCUGGUAGUCCACGCCCUAAACGAUGUCUACUAGUUGUCGGGACUUAAUUGUCUUGGUAACGCAGCUACGCGUGAGUAGACCGCCGUCGGGAGGUACGGUCGCGAGAGUAAACGUACGAAGUAGAGUUAGACGGCGUGAGACGUAGACCGACGGACGACGACGAGGGAGGAGG
rnacentral:rRNA from 1 species